rnacentral:rRNA from 1 species
AACGAACGCUGGCGGCAGGCCUAACACAUGCAAGUCGAGCGCGCCCUUCGGGGUGAGCGGCGGACGGGUGAGUAACGCGUGGGAACGUGCCCUUUUCUACGGAAUAGCCUCGGGAAACUGAGAGUAAUACCGUAUACGCCCUUUGGGGGAAAGAUUUAUCGGAAAAGGAUCGGCCCGCGUUGGAUUAGGUAGUUGGUGGGGUAAUGGCCUACCAAGCCGACGAUCCAUAGCUGGGUUGAGAGGAUGAUCAGCCACACUGGGACUGAGACACGGCCCAGACUCCUACGGGAGGCAGCAGUGGGGAAUCUUAGACAAUGGGGGCAACCCUGAUCGAGCCAUGCCGCGUGAGUGAUGAAGGCCUUAGGGUUGUAAAGCUCUUUAAGCUGGGAAGAUAAUGACGGUACCAGCAGAAGAAGCCCCGGCUAACUCCGUG